rnacentral:sRNA from 1 species
GUAGCAGAGUAAUGUGUAUUCUUUUUAUCAUGAUUAAUAAUAUGCAAAUUGAAUAAACUUUCAGUCCAUGACAAUGUUUUGUCAUUUCCCCACCUUUGUGUCUCUAGGAGCUCAUGGGACACAUGUAGCUAGUAUAGCUGCUGGACACUUUCCAGAAGAACCUGAACGGAAUGGGGUAGCUCCUGGUGCUCAAAUUCUUUCCAUCAAGAUUGGUGAUACAAGACUAAGCACAAUGGAAACAGGCACAGGCCUCAUAAGAGCUAUGAUAGAAGUUAUAAAUCAUAAGUGUGAUCUUGUCAACUACAGUUACGGAGAAGCAACUCACUG